rnacentral:rRNA from 1 species
UACAGAGGUCUCAAGCGUUGUUCGGAUUCAUUGGGCGUAAAGGGUGCGUAGGUGGCGCUGUAAGUCGGGUGUGAAAUUUCGGAGCUUAACUCCGAAACUGCAUUCGAUACUGCGGUGCUUGAGGACUGGAGAGGAGACUGGAAUUCAUGGUGUAGCAGUGAAAUGCGCAGAUAUCAGGAGGAACACCGGUGGCGAAGGCGGGUCUCUGGGCCGAUACUGACGCUGAGGAGCGAAAGCGUGGGGGAGCAAACAGG